UACAUUUGCAAGUCCUUUCAUCCAAGGCUCUUGGAGCAAUUAAUAAACACUGCUGCACUGCUGCAACAGAAGAAACAGUUGCUGCAAGAAAUUCUCAGUGAUACUUCUGGAGGGCUUGAAGAACUGUUUGAACUGUCAUGAGGCUGGUACAACUGAGGGCUGGAUGUGAUAUGGAAGGCCAGUGGUGACAGAGGCAAUGCUACAACAUGGGUGUCUGACCACUGGACUCCUGGAAGAAGCACCAUCAUCCCUUCUGUGAAUUAUGAUUGGCAAAAUUCUUCAUCUUGGGAAAGAUCUGAAGUGAGUUACAUAAAGCAGCUGCUGUUGGCAUUGCUUCCAUUCUUACAUGACCUAAUUGCAUGGAAAAGGAUGACUUAUGGUUAGGUAAAACUGGAAAACAGUUGCUGAACAGUGUUUGAUGUUUAGUAUUUGCUGAACUUGUUGUUUAGUGCAUCUGUUGGGGUAAUAGAUGUGUAAAGUGGGGUAUGUGUGCCAAAGGGAACAUUUCCUGCUGUGCUGUGCAGGGACAAUGGAGAAGUCAAGGAAAGUUCACUCUACUCUUAAACUCUUAGUUUUGUGAGCUGUUCUUUUGAAAUACAGGCAGGCUUUGCUGACCUGCUGCAUUUAAUCUCAAUAUCUACUCUGUCAUUAAAACACUGAUUUGUUUUUUUCUUCUGUACUGAAAAUUACACUGUUCCAUGAAAACUGCCAUCAUUUCUGGAGAAAACUGUGUCUAGUCUUCUAA
rnacentral:lncRNA from 1 species